GGAGCUUGCUCCCGGAUGUUAGCGGCGGACGGGUGAGUAACACGUGGGUAACCUGCCUGUAAGACUGGGAUAACUCCGGGAAACCGGAGCUAAUACCGGAUAGUUCCUUGAACCGCAUGGUUCAAGGAUGAAAGACGGUUUCGGCUGUCACUUACAGAUGGACCCGCGGCGCAUUAGCUAGUUGGUGGGGUAAUGGCUCACCAAGGCGACGAUGCGUAGCCGACCUGAGAGGGUGAUCGGCCACACUGGGACUGAGACACGGCCCAGACUCCUACGGGAGGCAGCAGUAGGGAAUCUUCCGCAAUGGACGAAAGUCUGACGGAGCAACGCCGCGUGAGUGAUGAAGGUUUUCGGAUCGUAAAGCUCUGUUGUUAGGGAAGAACAAGUGCGAGAGUAACUGCUCGCACCUUGACGGUACCUAACCAGAAAGCCACGGCUAACUACGUGCCAGCAGCCGCGGUAAUACGUAGGUGGCAAGCGUUGUCCGGAAUUAUUGGGCGUAAAGGGCUCGCAGGCGGUUUCUUAAGUCUGAUGUGAAAGCCCCCGGCUCAACCGGGGAGGGUCAUUGGAAACUGGGAAACUUGAGUGCAGAAGAGGAGAGUGGAAUUCCACGUGUAGCGGUGAAAUGCGUAGAGAUGUGGAGGAACACCAGUGGCGAAGGCGACUCUCUGGUCUGUAACUGACGCUGAGGAGCGAAAGCGUGGGGAGCGAACAGGAUUAGAUACCCUGGUAGUCCACGCCGUAAACGAUGAGUGCUAAGUGUUAGGGGGUUUCCGCCCCUUAGUGCUGCAGCUAACGCAUUAAGCACUCCGCCUGGGGAGUACGGUCGCAAGACUGAAACUCAAAGGAAUUGACGGGGGCCCGCACAAGCGGUGGAGCAUGUGGUUUAAUUCGAAGCAACGCGAAGAACCUUACCAGGUCUUGACAUCCUCUGACAACCCUAGAGAUAGGGCUUUCCCUUCGGGGACAGAGUGACAGGUGGUGCAUGGUUGUCGUCAGCUCGUGUCGUGAGAUGUUGGGUUAAGUCCCGCAACGAGCGCAACCCUUGAUCUUAGUUGCCAGCAUUUAGUUGGGCACUCUAAGGUGACUGCCGGUGACAAACCGGAGGAAGGUGGGGAUGACGUCAAAUCAUCAUGCCCCUUAUGACCUGGGCUACACACGUGCUACAAUGGACAGAACAAAGGGCUGCGAGACCGCAAGGUUUAGCCAAUCCCAUAAAUCUGUUCUCAGUUCGGAUCGCAGUCUGCAACUCGACUGCGUGAAGCUGGAAUCGCUAGUAAUCGCGGAUCAGCA
rnacentral:rRNA from 1 species